rnacentral:rRNA from 1 species
UACGUAGGGUGCGAGCGUUGUCCGGAUUUAUUGGGCGUAAAGAGCUCGUAGGCGGUUUGUCGCGUCGGCCGUGAAAUCUCCACGCUUAACGUGGAGCGUGCGGUCGAUACGGGCAGACUUGAGUUCGGUAGGGGAGACUGGAAUUCCUGGUGUAGCGGUGGAAUGCGCAGAUAUCAGGAAGAACACCAAUGGCGAAGGCAGCUCUCUGGGACGGUACUGACGCUGAGACGCGAAAGCCGUGGGGAGCGAACAGG